rnacentral:rRNA from 1 species
GUGUCAGCAGCCGCGGUAAUACGAAGGGGGCUAGCGUUGUUCGGAAUCACUGGGCGUAAAGCGCGCGUAGGCGGAUUGUUAAGUCAGGGGUGAAAUCCCGAGGCUCAACCUCGGAACUGCCUUUGAUACUGGCGAUCUUGAGUCCGGGAGAGGUGAGUGGAACUCCUAGUGUAGAGGUGAAAUUCGUAGAUAUUAGGAAGAACACCAGUGGCGAAGGCGGCUCACUGGCCCGGUACUGACGCUGAUGUGCGACAGCGUGGGGAGCAAACAGGAUUAGAAACCCUGGUAGUCC